rnacentral:lncRNA from 1 species
ACACCCAGAAGCAACACCGGGUCUGAGGAAAGCCGGAUAAGGCCUGGCCACGGAAAAUGCCGAGGAGCCGAAGGGACGAAGAGACGAAGGGACGAAGGGACGAAGGGAAGAGACGCCCAAGAGGACACUCCACGCACUGGGAUUGGUCCGCAAAGCUGCCUCUGAUUGGCAGAAGCGUCACCGAGCGGUCAGCGCGGGGUCAGGGCCGGGCGUGAAGAGGCUUUGCUGUCCCGGCCCAGAGGGAGGUCUGGGCUCUGCGGGCAGGCUCUGGGCCCAAGGACGCCGCUGACGGCCGCUGGACAAGUGCCGCCGGCUGGCGACCCGGCGCCUGCGCACCUGAGGGCCGGGGACUGACCUUGGGUCCUCCCGGUUGUCGGUCUGACCUUGUCCCCAGAUGUGUGGCAGCACACUAGGUCCCCAUCGGGCAGCCACUGGGGCAGAGGCUGCAGGCCACCCGAUGGGAGGCAGGCCAGUGACAAGGAGCUAGAAUGGCCUUGGCUGGGUGGGUUGGUCGGGAGGUACUUAGGAAAUCAGGUAGAGCCUACCGAAGUUGUAAAGUCUUUUUAAUGCUACCAACCCCGCCUGCAUCCCCAGGCUCGUGGAGGUAGUGAUACAAAAAUACAAUUGUCUCCAAUGCCCCAAAACUUUUCAUUGUAUUUUGUUUCAGAAAUUACCCAGAGCAUCAGAGUUCUGUGCAUGACACAUGGACAGCAUAAAGGAGGCGGUAAUAAGAACCUCAGAAUCAUGCACUCAGUACAAUUCUGAUUCUUUGUUUUUUGUUUUUUAAAUAAUGUGUGUUUUUAAAAAAACAAAACAAACAAAAAAACCUUAGUAUCUGGAGUAUAUUAAAGGAGAACUUGGGAGCAAAAUUGGGUGGAAGACAAAGAAAGCAAACAAAUCCCUUUUUAACAAGUAACCUGACAGUGUAGAAAACACUGUAGGAGGAGCUCCAGUUUGCUACAGUAGGUAUGGAAUACAGAUAGGGACUGCAGGGAUGUGUCUAGAGAUGCACCAGUAUACCCACCCCAUGGUGACCACUAUCUUCUUGUGAUUGGUUUGAAAUACAGCCUACUCUAACUGUAAGGUAUGGACACGAUUCUAAGACAGCUUAAAGGGAUACAAAAUACUCAUCAAUUUGAUGCAUUGGCCAUUAUAUUGAAAGUGUUCCAAAAAAUUUAAAGUAAUGGGGUUCCUAUUAUUAUGUAGGGAGCUGUUGUUCAAAAUAGUGAAUUCUCUUUGAAGAGCAAGGCUUUGACUUAGUUGUGUAGGAAGGUAGCCCAAGGUAGGCUGUGAUAGACUGUUUAGGUUUUGGUGUUUUUUGCUUUUGAUACGGGCUUUUGCAAUGUAGCUCUAUGGUUGGCCUCAAAGCACUUCUGUCUCAGCUGCUAUGUGCUGGGAAGACAACUGCAUAUUUUCUUGCCUAGUUCACUUGAUUUUUAUGAGGACAAAGGU